GGGGAUGUAGCUCAGUGGUAGAGUUUCCGUCUUUGCAUGCGGAAGGACCGGUGUUCGAUUCCCCGCAUCUCCA
rfam:Nematostella vectensis strain CH2 x CH6 NEMVEscaffold_161_Cont16368, whole genome shotgun sequence.